rnacentral:rRNA from 1 species
AUAUCAAUAAGCGGAGGAAAAGAAACCAACAGGGAUUGCCUCAGUAACGGCGAGUGAAGCGGCAACAGCUCAAAUUUGAAAUCUGGCCUCCUUGCGGGGUCCGAGUUGUAGUUUGCAGAGGAUGCUUUGGGCAAGGCGCCUUCCGAGUGCCCUGGAACGGGACGCCGCAGAGGGUGAGAGCCCCCUACGGUUGGUGGCCGAGCCUGUGUAAAGCUCCCUCGACGAGUCGAGUAGUUUGGGAAUGCUGCUCUAAAUGGGAGGUACACCCCUUCUAAAGCUAAAUACCCGCCAGAGACCGAUAGCGCACAAGUAGAGUGAUCGAAAGAUGAAAAGCACUUUGAAAAGAGAGUUAAACAGCACGUGAAAUUGUUGAAAGGGAAGCGCUUGUGGCCAGACUCGGGCCCGGUGGCUCAGCCGUCCCUCGCGGGCGGUGCACUCUGCCGGGCCUGGGCCAGCAUCAGCUUGUGGCGGGGGAGAAAGGCGGUGGGAACGUGGCUCUUCGGAGUGUUAUAGCCCGCCGUCAUGCCCCGCCGCGGGCUGAGGUUCGCGCUCCGCAAGGAUGCUGGCGUAAUGGCCACCAGCGACCCGUCUUGAAACACGGACCAAGGAGUCGUCCUAGCAUGCGAGUGUUCGGGUGCAAAGCCCCUACGCGGAAUGAAAGUGAACGUAGGUGGGAGCCUCCGGGCGCACCACCGACCGAUCCUGAUGUUCUCGGAUGGAUUUGAGUAAGAGCAUGCUGGGCCGGACCCGAAAGAAGGUGAACUAUGCUUGGAUAGGGCAAAGCCAGAGGAAACUCUGGUGGAGGCUCGCAGCGGUUCUGACGUGCAAAUCGAUCGUCAAAUCUGAGCAUGGGGGCGAAAGUGAGUGCCAACCCGGGCUUUGCAUUACAUACGUACAGUGGGCGCAGUGCUAACGUUCAGCAGGACUAAUCGAACCUUCUAGUAGCUGGUUUCCGC